AAACGGCAAACCGGCUGAAAAGCCGGGACGCAAAGCUAAGGGGGCUACGGCGGGGCCGAACAGGCGCGCUAAGCCAGCCCGGCUGCCAA
rnacentral:ncRNA from 1 species